rnacentral:lncRNA from 13 species
GCUUUAGCUUCUGGAAGAAAUAACUAUCUUGUAGUAUGGCAUUUUUUUCCCCUGUAGCAAGUGUGCAGAACUAUAUGGCAUGCAUUCACUUGUGUUAUUUUCAACAUAGCUUCUUUUUUCUUUUUGAGACAGGGUUUCACUGUUGCCCAGGCUGGAGUGCUGGAGUAUGAUCUUUGCUCACUACAGCCUCAAAUUCAUGAGCUCAAGUGAUCUUCCCACCUUAGCCUCACCAGUACCUGGGACUACAGGCUUACACCACCAUACGCAAGCCACACCAAACCCGUUCAAUCCUGUGUUGAUUUGAAAGCCGGCUACAGGUUAACCCUAAGCUUUUUCCUGGGUGAUUCUUGAGAAAAGAUCUCAUCCUUCACCUAGGCCGGAGUGCAGUGGUGCAAUUAUGGCUUCCUAUAGCCUCAAACUAAAGGCCUAAGUGAUCCUCCUACCUCAGCCUCCUGCGUAGCCGAGAUUACAGGUAUGCACCAUCACACCUGGCUAAUGCUUUAUUUUAUUUUAUUUUUGUAGGGAUGGGGUCUGGCUCUGUUGCCCAGGCUGGUCUCAAACUCCCGGCCUCAAGCAAUAUUCCCACCUUGGCCUCCAAAACUGCUGGGAUUAUAGGCAUGAGUCACUGCACCUAGCCUCAGGAAUACAGGCUUUCUAGCCACACCAGUCCCUAUUUAUAUAAACCACAGUCUCAGGAUCUGCAAAGUAGAUGGCGGGUGUUUGUCUUUCUCAGAGACUACCUGGGGAUUGAUAAUCUGCAUAUAGGCUGAAUACAGUCCUGUGAAAUACAAUCAUUU